GUAUGAAAUUGGCGAAUUCAACCUAAAGUCAAAAUUAUAGGUACGCAUGAUCGAUGUAACUUCUUCGAUGGUGUGUUGGCUGUUUGCCCAUGUGUAUUUCGGGGUAUAGGAGUAGCCUCCCCUUUUAAAUAUCCAAAAUGGUGAUUUUACAGUGCGGCAUGCAGUCUGGUCAUCAACGGAGAGUUUUGACACCCGUAAUACCCAUAUUUCUGCCACUCACCUCUGUAACCUUUGUUGAGUUCAUCAGACAGUCCAAGACAGGAAGUUGAGGAAUAAGUUGACAGGACAUCCUGAACUGUCCUCGGUACCAGCUUAUGAGGGAACCAGCUGCAGUGGAUAGAGCACGUUACAUCAUAGGAUAAUAGCAUUGAAUUGGAUUCUUGAACCAGAGCCAUGUGAACCUGGUCCACCUGUACCUCUCAUUGAAGACCUGUUAACAUCACCAGAGUAUGUUCAUUCUGAUACCCCUAUGGUAUGGUUACAACAUGCAUUAUAUCUGUCAGAUGAAGC